ACGUACACCUGAGACAAUGCC
rnacentral:siRNA from 1 species